AUACGGGAGGCAGCAAGCGGGAAUAUUGCACAACGGGCGAAAGCCAGGUGCAGCAAUGCCGCGUGAGGGAUGACGGCCUUCGGGUUGUAAACCUCUGUCAGCAGGGACGAUAAUGACGGUACCUGUUGAGGAAGCUCCGGCUAACUCCGUGCCAGCAGCCGCGGUAAGACGGAGGGAGCAAGCGUUGUCCGGAUUUACUGGGCGUAAAGCGCGCGUAGGCGGCCUGUUAAGUCGAUUGUGAAAUUGCGGGGCUCAACCCCGCACCUGCAGUCGAUACUGGCAGGCUCGAGUUCGGGAGAGGGAAGUGGAAUUCCUGGUGUAGCGGUGGAAUGCGUAGAUAUCAGGAAGAACACCGGUGGCGAAGGCGGCUUCCUGGACCGAUACUGACGCUGAGGCGCGAAAGCUAGGGGAGCGAACGGGAUUAGAUACCCUGGUAGC
rnacentral:rRNA from 1 species